CAGCGGUGAGCGAUCCAUCACAUUGCUGUGUGUGUGUGUGUGUGUGUACUUGGCCCUUUCUCAUUGGACUUUGUGCCGUGGAAGUUGCCCGUGCAAAGCAGCGCGCGUCACGCUUAUGUCUUGAGCCACGUCGAUACAACACUGGGGCCUCUCCAGAGCACCGGCCGCCUGGCAGUCAUUGUGAAAUGUCAAAGGUGUUUUGGACAACUUGUGUGAAAGUUUUUUUUUUUUUAACCGACUUCACAGACCCGGAGCCUCGAGGACGACACCUUCAGCUUAAUGACCCGUCACGCAUGCUGAAGCAAGUAUUUGCUGACAUUUUCAGACGUUAAGAAAAUGGCGAACACAGGGAAUACAUUACCAGGUUGGCGUGAACUGACGUGGCAGUACAAUGGCACCGGCCAGCAGCGAACCAUUCCAUCGGUCCACAGUGUCACUGGGAGCAGUAGACCGGAUCCGAGUGUGUCCACCCGACUCAUGGAGAGAGGCUCUGGCCUGAGGAGGACAGUGGGACAAAACAACAACCAUCUUCUUGAACAGCUGCACGGAGGGGGAAAGGCGGUUCCUACUCUCGGUCGCUUGGACACUCAGCUGGCCCGGGACUUUUCCACCCCGCUGGACGCAAAGCCUUGUUAUCCUGUGAAUGAACCCGUCGAUCCCACCUGGUCGGUGUCUGCCUCCACACCCUGGGACGCCCCCGAUCAAAGGCUUCAACGUGACCAGGAACAAAUUAAGUUGCGCACAAUUUUGACUGGCAAAUGCAAAUGAUACACAGUGGAAACUCUGUGUGCUGAACUAGAGUCAUCAGAAUACAAGUGUGCUCACAAUUGCUGGAUAAUUGAGGCCCAUUUAGGUUGAGUGGAAAAGUCGUUGACGUGGUUACAGUUGGAGCAUGUUAAGAGGCAUGAAUAGAUACUAAGAAACAAGGGCCUGUGAUAUACAUCUAAAUAUAAUUG
ensembl:lncRNA